rnacentral:rRNA from 1 species
UCCAUGUGUAGCGGUGAAAUGCGUAGAUAUAUGGAGGAACACCAGUGGCGAAAGCGGCUCUCUGGUCUGUCACUGACGNUGAGGCUCGAAAGCGUGGGUAGCGAACAGGAUUAGAUGCCCUGGUAGUCCACGCCGUAGACGAUGAGUGCUAGGUGUUAGGCCCUUUCCGGGGCUUAGUGCCGGAGCUAACGCAAUAAGCACUCCGCCUGGGGAGUACGACCGCAAGGUUGAAACUCAAAGGAAUUGACGGGGGCCCGCACAAGCGGUGGAGCAUGUGGUUUAAUUCGAAGCAACGCGAAGAACCUUACCAGGUCUUGACAUCCCGAUGCUAUUCUUAGAGAUAGGAAGUUACUUCGGUACAUCGGAGACAGGUGGUGCAUGGUUGUCGUCAGCUCGUGUCGUGAGAUGUUGGGUUAAGUCCCGCAACGAGCGCAACCCUUAUUGUUAGUUGCCAUCAUUAAGUUGGGCACUCUAGCGAGACUGCCGGUAAUAAACCGGAGGAAGGUGGGGAUGACGUCAAAUCAUCAUGCCCCUUAUGACCUGGGCUACACACGUGCUAUAAUGGUCGGUACAACGAGUUGCGAGCCGGUGACGGCAAGCUAAUCUCUGAAAGCCGAUCUCAGUUCGGAUUGGAGGCUGCAACUCGCCUCCAUGAAGUCGGAAUCGCUAGUAAUCGCGGAUCAGCACGCCGCGGUGAAUACGUUCCCGGGCCUUGUACACACCGCCCGUCACACCACGAGAGUUUGUAACACCNG